UACGUAGGGGGCAAGCGUUGUCCGGAAUCAUUGGGCGUAAAGAGCGUGUAGGCGGCCAGAUAAGUCCGCUGUGAAAUCUCGAGGCUCAACUUCGAGCUGUCGGUGGAAACUGUCUGGCUAGAGUCCGGAAGAGGAGAAUGGAAUUCCUGGUGUAGCGGUGAAAUGCGCAGAUAUCAGGAGGAACACCGGUGGCGAAGGCGGAUCUCUGGGCCUUACCUGACGCUGAGGAGCGAAAGCAUGGGGAGCAAACAGG
rnacentral:rRNA from 1 species